AACCAACCUACAAUCACAACUGUUGUUAUUGGUAAGCGUCCUUCAAAUUUUCCAAUUUGAAUAAAUUAAGAACCAUAAUUGUUCUUUUUCCAAACCCAAAACUCAUCCAAUUGUUUUAUUCCUUUCUUUCCAUUUUUUUCGAUUCAAAACCGAGAGGAAAAUAUUUCUUACUCCAAGGAAUAUUUUCUGUCCACCAACAGCAGCAUAACAAUCCAGCAUUUUCCAGGAAAAUACCCACAAAUUUAGCAUUUUCAUUUGGUCCACUUCGAACCGGAUUUUAUUGCUGUUUAAAUUUCCAUGUUUUACAUCGAGUUUCAUCAAAAAUCAAGCCAGUUCCACGAUAUCGAAAGAACACGUUCGCACAACUUUUACACGACAAACAGCUGUUUUCCGUUCCACUAAAAUCCAUCAGAACGAAAAUUUGCACGAAAAUCAAAGCGAACGAAAACGUAAGCAUUUCAGUGUAAUUUUGCGUUCCACUAUCUUUUUUCUUUCGUACGCAUGCGAACACAAAUGUCAAAAUCAGUCACUUGUGUGUUUGCUAUCGUAUAAUAACAAUUAAGGAAAAUUGUUUUAACAUAAACAUUGCUUGAUUGAAAAUGGAAACAAAAAUCACGAAAAAAUCAUCAACUACACAGCUGCGGGCACUAGUUGAGUAUAUGGAGGAGAAUCCUGUGUUCGCCAGAGGAGUGCCAAUUUUUGGAAGCAGCAGAAGAAGUUUUAAAUCGGGGCGGAUUUGGGUAGUUCUGCAACCGGGCACCCACAUCUCUUCCAUCAUAUCCAAAAGAGCCCGAAAACUUCCUUCGACACACCAAAAUUGGACACAAACCUAGAAAAAAUCAUUUUUUAUUAUUUCAAAAAUGUAAAAAUACAAUCAUACUUACUGGUUGUUAGGUACUUCAAAUAAAUUCGAAGCAUCUCUUAAA